rnacentral:rRNA from 1 species
GAUGAACGCUGGCGGCGUGCCUAAUACAUGCAAGUCGAGCGAACAGACGAGGAGCUUGCUCCUCUGACGUUAGCGACGGACGGGUGAGUAACACGUGGAUAACCUACCUAUAAGACUGGGAUAACUUCGGGAAACCGGAGCUAAUACCGGAUAAUAUAUUGAACCGCAUGGUUCAAUAGUGAAAGACGGUUUUGCUGUCACUUAUAGAUGGAUCCGUGCCGCAUUAGCUAGUUGGUAAGGUAACGGCCUACCAAGGCAACGAUGCGUAGCCGACCUGAGAGGGUGAUCGGCCACACUGGAACUGAGACACGGUCCAGACUCCUACGGGAGGCAGCAGUAGGGAAUAUUGCGCAAUGGGCGAAAGCCUGACGGAGCAACGCCGCGUGAGUGAUGAAGGUCUUCGGAUCGUAAAACUCUGUUAUUAGGGAAGAAAAAAUGUGUAAGUAACUAUGCACGUCUUGACGGUACCUAAUCAGAAAGCAACGGCUAACUACGUG